UUGAAAAUAUCUAAAGUCUAAACUUUCAUUUCAACAUGAUAAUUAGUGUUUAAUCAUACAUAUAUCCAUCAUUAAAAGUUUAGAGAAAAAUUGCAAGUUAUGGAAGCAUAAAGUAGAAAAAUAUUGCAACAAGUGUUGUUCAUUAAUACCAAUCCAUGGUGGUUAUUUUGUACAACCUUCAUCCUUAAUAUACUCCAUCAAAAAAGAAGAGAAAAUUACAAACUACGGAAGAAAUACAAGUUGUGAUCAUCUACUCCUUAACUUCAUCUCCAUGAUCAACAAUCUCCUCGUCCUCAUUCAUAGGUUAAGCAGCAAUAAAGGGGCUUAGUCUAGCAGUUUCUCCUUGGAUGCAUCUUCAUCAACCAGCUCUUCGACUGUAGUCGUCUUCUUGAUCGAUUUGGUAGCCACUAUCUCAUCCAUAUCCAUCAUACAACCAUCAAAUAUGUCUUUAUUCACAUUGAACUCUGCCUCUGCAGAGGAAACCUCUUAAUAUAGGAACUCGAUCUGCCUGAUUGUCUUCUUAAAGCCAUUGGUGUGCUCAAUUAUUAUGUAUUUCUGCAACCCAACCAAGUCAGUCUCAAGCCCCACUCAAGCCCCAUUCCCUUUAGCAACAUAUUUCUUCAAAGAAUUGAUAUCUUUCUUCAACUUGUUCUCUUUAUUCUUGAUUUUUUUUCUCAAAAUCCAAGCCCCUUGUCCAAGUCUUUAACUUGUUCGCGCUCUCCUUAAGAGGCCUUGUUCUCCUCAACCAAUUUUUUUCUUGUCAUCAUUAUACUUCUUCUGUAGGCUUGCCAACUCCUCAGCCAUUUUCGCCUUCUCCCCGUCAAUCAUCUUUUUCUAUAGCAAAUUAGCUAUCCUAAGGCUGAUCACCAAGGAUCGGCUCUGAUAUUAUAAUAGUGCAUGAAUAAGAGUAGUCGACUCAGCCUCCUUCACCAGUUUCAAUUCAUUCUCCUUCAGCCCUAUAUGCACACCUUAGCGGAUAACAACAAGGGGGCUCUCCAAACCACCCAAAUUGAACGCCUUGCUCUUGAAACCAGAACUUUCAGCAUGGCCGAACAACUCAGCUCAAAGUUUCUUCUUAUCCUUACCCUUAUGUACACCUCACUACUUUGAGGGAAAAAGCCUCUUGGUGCUGCUCACGGGCCGAUGGGUGCCUACUACAAAUCCUUUUAAGUCUUUGAAGCUUUCUUAACCUCCUCGACUAGUUUGUUCCUAAACUUAUGGAACAUGUUCUAAUCAGUCUCCAUCUUAGCAGCAUGUUGGGCCAUGUAACUUACAAGUAGCACAAAAUUUUCAGAUUAACUAAAAGAUAUUUAAGCUACAAGCUACACUAUACAUAACAAACAUGUUAGUAACUAACUUAAAAGAUAUGUAAAGUCUAAUGACGUUUUUUGCAGGUAACUUUCGAGGGAGUUGUUCGAAGGUCCCCACUAUCCUCUGAUCCUGCUUGGACAAUAUGUCCUUGGCCUAAGGGGGUUAUUAGUUCAGUAGAAAGGAAAUUUUGAAUUGUAGUUUUUGUAUUAAAAAUGUAAGCGACUAACCAGUUUCAUGUUAAGACUGCAGCAAGUGUACUGAAUUGUAUAAAGUAAUAUAAAUGGUAAGACCAAGUUUCGUUUUCCCAAGAGACUCAUUGGCCUAGACAGUCAUGUGAUUUGUUGAUUAUUUAAGACUUGAGAAACGAAAAUCAAUGUGUAUAAUGCAAAAUAGAAAAUAAACAUGAAUGCAAUUAUUGAUGAGUUGACCAAAAGAGUACGCAGGUGAAUGAUAUAUGGAUAAAUUAUGUUGUUGGUGUUUCCGACUUUAUCCUAUCCACUCUCACAUAUUUACGAAUUCAACUCCUUCAUUAAUGUCAAUGCCACUUUCUAAUUUACCCUAAACCUGAUGUCUCGAUGAAGAGAGCCUACUCCUAAUUACUAGUUUACAAUGUCUUGUCUCCCAGCAAUUAAUCAUGCAUUAGAUUCGCACAAAAGCUUAAAGGCAAUCGGUCCUUCUAUCCCUAUGUCU
rnacentral:lncRNA from 1 species